rnacentral:lncRNA from 1 species
GGGCAGUGGCCAUUUUGUCCAAGUCACAUGACCAGCCAUCCAAGUCUUAGUGAACUGGCAUUAGUAAAUCAGGAAGAGGUCCUUUUUCAAUGGCAGUUUAAAAUAUGUUUUCUAUAAACACUGGGAUCAUUAGAGAUACUAAUAGAUACCGUUGACCAUUCAAUAUAAAUCAGUUGUUGAUUAAAUUUGCACAUGCUGUAUAUAGAUUUUUCUACUGUAUUGACUAUGUUUGUUUACUCCAUGUGUAACUCUGUGUUGUGUCACACUGCUUUGCUUUAUCUUGGCCAGGUCGCAGGGGCGACCUCAACUAGCUUACCUGGUUAAAUAAAGGUGUUCUCAACUAGCCUACCUGGUUAAAUACAGGUGUUCUCAACUAGCCUACCUGGUUAAAUAAAGGUGUUCUCAACUAGCCUACCUGGUUAAAUACAGGUGUUCUCAACUAGCCUACCUGGUUAAAUACAGGUGUUCUCAACUAGCCUACCUGGUUAAAUACAGGUGAAAUAAAACAUUUAAAAAGUAAUGAUGGUUAAAUACAUGUAGGCUAAUUAACAUGUAUUAGCAAAACUAUUUUGUCUUGGAAGUCACAUUAGUAGGUGUUCAGUGCAUGAGAGAACUUACAUUUUAGUCAUGUUAUUGUGUCAUUGCAGCAUCAUUUUGUCCACAACUCUUUUGGUUAAAGGCAGUGCUACACCUGGCUACCUACCCAACCCUGCAACUUUGAGAAGUCCAGUAUUGUCUUUCUCCUUCCUAACAUACCAUUCUGCAGAAAGUGUCCUACGUCUUGUGUUGGGAGAAUGCACUGCCUUGUGUACAGAACAUACAAUAUGUUACAAAGAGAGUGGAGGCUAGAGGCUUAAAACCACUAGUUUGAUACACUAUUCAUACACUCUGCUAG